rnacentral:misc_RNA from 1 species
AGUCUCAUCGAAAGGGGGAGACCCCUUUCGGACUUGGACGGUCUUGCCCUCGCCCCCUGCGGUCGAAGGCUCGUCUUCAAAUUCAUCGGCGAGGUUACGUCCCCUCACACGCCCCCCUCUAGACGUGAUAAGUCUUGCGUCGUCCGGGUUGGGAAAGGGAGGGGAUCCGUCCGCCAUUCCGUUCCGUCAUUCAAACG